rnacentral:rRNA from 1 species
GAUGAACGCUGGCGGCGUGCCUAAUACAUGCAAGUCGAGCGAACAGACGAGGAGCUUGCUCCUCUGACGUUAGCGGCGGACGGGUGAGUAACACGUGGAUAACCUACCUAUAAGACUGGGAUAACUUUGGGAAACCGGAGCUAAUACCGGAUAAUAUAUUGAACCGCAUGGUUCAAUAGUGAAAGACGGUUUUGCUGUCACUUAUAGAUGGAUCCGCGCCGCAUUAGCUAGUUGGUAAGGUAACGGCUUACCAAGGCGACGAUGCGUAGCCGACCUGAGAGGGUGAUCGGCCACACUGGUACUGAGACACGGUCCAGACUCCUACGGGAGGCAGCAGUAGGGAAUCUUCCGCAAUGGGCGAAAGCCUGACGGAGCAACGCCGCGUGAGUGAUGAAGGUCUUCGGAUCGUAAAACUCUGUUAUUAGGGAAGAACAAAUGUGUAAGUAACUAUGCACGUCUUGACGGUACCUAAUCAGAAAGCCACGGCUAACUACGUG